GACGAACGCUGGCGGCGUGCUUAACACAUGCAAGUCGAACGGAAAGGCCCUGCUUUUGUGGGGUGCUCGAGUGGCGAACGGGUGAGUAACACGUGAGUAACCUGCCCUUGACUUUGGGAUAACUUCAGGGAACUGGGGCUAAUACCGGAUAGGAGCUCCUGCUGCAUGGUGGGGGUUGGAAAGUUUCGGCGGUUGGGGAUGGACUCGCGGCUUAUCAGCUUGUUGGUGGGGUAGUGGCUUACCAAGGCUUUGACGGGUAGCCGGCCUGAGAGGGUGACCGGCCACAUGGGGACUGAGGUACGGCCCAGACUCCUACGGGAGGCAGCAGUGGAGAAUAUUGCACAGUGGGCGGAAGCCUGAUGCAGCAACGCCGCGUGCGGGAUGACGGCCUUCGGGUUGUAAACCGCUUUCGCCGGUGACGAAGCGUGAGUGACGGUAAUGGGUAAAGAAGCACCGGCUAACUACGUG
rnacentral:rRNA from 1 species